rnacentral:rRNA from 1 species
AGCGAACGCUGGCGGCAGGCUUAACACAUGCAAGUCGAGCGCCCCGCAAGGGGAGCGGCAGACGGGAGAGUAACACGUGGGAACGUACCCUUCAGUUCGGGACAACCAAGGGAAACUUUGGCUAAUACCGGAUACGUCCGUAAGGAGAAAGAUUUAUCGCUGAAGGAUCGGCCCGCGUCUGAUUAGCUAGUUGGUGGGGUAAUGGCCCACCAAGGCGACGAUCAGUAGCUGGUCUGAGAGGAUGAUCAGCCUCACUGGGACUGAGACACGGCCCUGACUCCUACGGGAGGCAGCAGUGGGGAAUAUUGGACAAUGGGCGCAAGCCUGAUCCAGCCAUGCCGCGUGGAUGAUGAAGGCCUUAGGGUUGUAAAGUCCUUUUAACGGGGAAGAUAAUGACGGUACCCGUAGAAUAAGCCCCGGCUAACUUCGUGCCAGCAGCCGCCGUAACAC